UUUUUUUUUUUUCCUUAUUCUCAUUAUAAUAAAUUGAGAUUGGGACAUGCACUCAGCAUCACCUGGUUAAUAAGAGACGAGAGUCUGAGCUUGAAUCCUAGUCCUUCUUGCUCUGAAGCUCAUGCUCAGAAGCUCAUGCUCACGCUCUGAAGUCACUGCAGCAUCUUCGUACAUCAAACUUUUAUGUUUCCCCUUCGGUGACCACGAGAUGGAAUGCAGCAGAGCCCCAGCUAAGAGGGAGCAUAAUCAACCAAGCGCCUCAGCUGCUGCGCUCUCAGAUCCCUAUACAUUUUACACCAAAGCCACCCUGCCUACCUCAGCCCCAUUCCUGGGAGACGGGCUCCUCUGACCUGCGACAUUGGCGAAAGGACUGCCCCCUGGCCUUGCCGGACCUUUCCCAGAUGGCAAAGCCAAUGGUCCUUUCAUCUUUUCUUCACCCAGAGUCAGACUAGAUCCCAGAUAUCAGCUUUCCCAGCCUCUCCCUGCUCCCUGACCCCUUCCUCUCAUGUGUUUCCCCCGAUCCAAAUGUCCCACAUUUAAUCCAGCACUAGCAUCUGCUUCCUGGAGCUACCCAAACCAACACGACCACUUCCGCUGCCACCUUCAAGGUAGGUGUGGGCUGUUCAGCAAAUCCGGGCUGUGCUGAAGAUCUGAGGCGCCGUCCUGGCCGUGCUCCGUUCACUACCUCUUCUCACUCAAUGUCACCGCCUGCGAGGUAGCUCCUAGAAGAAGCCACCCUCUCACCCUCUCUCCACCCCAUCUCAAACCUCAUACCUGCUCCUUGGCCGGUGCUUCUGUGUUUAUGCCUUUCUGUUUUUGUACAUUCUGAGGCUUUGCCAUCUGGGACCUUGCUGAUCCUGGAGGGCCGGCCCCUCACGGGCCUGGCUGCUUCUUAGACACAGCCAACAACUCACCUGAGAGCUGGCCUUUCCUAAGCACAGCCCAGACUGAGAGCCACCCUGGACCACAGUCCAACCGGCCCCACUCAUCCCAGGACCAGUACCAGAUGACUUGGGAAACCCCUACUCUCCAGAGGCCACUUCAGCGAUUCAGACUAACCCACCCAAAGACUGCUUUCCCUGCCUUGCAUUGUCUUGCCUUUCCCAGAAGAUCCCAUAAAGGCCCUUGUCCAGCUUGUCCUCUAACUCGCUCUGCCUCAUGAAAGACCCUGGUGCUUCCCAUGCAGCCCCGUGUGGCAGGCUGCGUCUCCUGUGUCUAGGCAUCUGGGAGGACCAUAGUUGGUUAUUGUCUUUAAUGUUAGCAAGAUAAAUAUCGUUUUACAAAAAGAAGAAGACUCCCACAGCCUCUCCCUCCAGCCUGUUGAAAUGUGGGACCUAAGUCUCCCCUCUUUUCUCCAACUCUGCCCAUCUCUCUCUCUAUGUGGAGUUUUCCUAAAAAUGGAAUUCCACUCCCUGUAGGGUUUGGUUACCUGCAUUGUCGUGUUUAUUGCAGACAUGGCUCCGUGAUGAGAGGAGGAACAUUUUGGAAUCACAUGUAAUGGCCACAUGGCAUAUAACCCCCGGGUAAUCUGCUCCUGUUGUUUUCUGAGAGUGCUUCACAAUGAUAAAGAAUGCCACAGUCGUUGGUAGACUGUCGGGAGCCAUAGGGCUGCUCCAGUAAAGAAAGCAAAGCCACAGUCGGCACCUGCAUGAGGCUUGUCUGGUUAGCAGAAGCUACAGACAAGCUGAAGAAAGAAGAAGGAUUGCAGAGCAAUCCCUUGAAAGACAUCGGUUCCAGGAAAAUAAAAAUGAUAUCCCCUAAAAAUAUGUUAAUCUAUUUUUCUGUGUUUAUCUUUCCUUUUCUAUCUCUAUUCACAGCUUUCUUACUGCUAAAGAUUUGCCCUGGGUACGUAAAACACUUGAACCAAAACAGAAUGAAGUUGUUUAAACAAUGUAAUGGAAAAAGCCUUUGUUUUGGAGUAACAAUUUAUGGCACCUAUUUUGUGAGAGUAUUCAGGGGAAACUUAUGAUUUCAGUCCCUUUACUUAAAAAGAAGUUUGGGGCUGGGAAAAUGUUGUUUGGCCUAUAAAUUGCUAUUUUCUAUAAUAGAUAUAUUUUUUAACAGUGUCACUUGUAACUUUCAUCCCUUGUAGGGGCAUUUGUUAAUUUUUGGGUAUAAUACUCCUUUCUAUUGAAAUUGGUGGUUUGGAACUUACGUAAAUCAGUACAAUAGGUUAAAUGCUUAGCUUGCUGGCGCCAAAUAAAUCGUGGUUUUAAGAAUGCCAUGAGCCCAAAGCUUUCAUGCGUUUUGUUAACCACAUACACCUUUAGUUAAAGAAUGUUAGGUAUCAUAGUUUAUUACUUAUUAAAGCUUUGUUCUUAAUAUAGAAUAGAAUAGCUACUGUUGUUGACCUUUUAAGAAAAAUACAGUGUGAAACUUUAAGUUUGUAAUCUUGUAGGAAAAUCUGAAGUUGAAAGGAACAUGUUUUAACUAACCUUCUUUUUUGUAUCUCGGGUGGAGGGAACAAAAGGGCUUUAAAUCAAAUGUUAAUGUUAAAUCUUACACGAAAUCUGAUUGUGAAAUGGUAUAAAAACUGAUGCUUUUCAUUUAAUAAAUUGGGUCAUCUGCAGCAU
rnacentral:lncRNA from 1 species